rnacentral:rRNA from 1 species
CAAUAGCGUAUAUUAAAGUUGUUGCGGUAAAAAAGCUCGUAGUUGGAUUUCUACCGAAGAUAGCCGGUCGGGUCUUCGACCUUGUAUCUGGUUUUGUCUUUGGUAUCCUCAUAGGGAACGUUUCUGCGCUUUAUUGCGUGGUGCGGUAUCUAUGACUUUUACUUUGAGGAAAUUAGAGUGUUCACGGCAGGCAAACGCCUUGAAUAUAUUAGCAUGGAAUAAUAACAUAGGAUCUUCGUCCUAUUUUGUUGGUUUCUAGGGCUAAGAUAAUGAUUAAUAGGAAUAAUUGGGGGCAUCUGUAUCAACGCGUCAGAGGUGGAAUUCUUGGAUUGCGUUGCGACAAACUACUGCGAAAGCAUUUGCCAAGGAUGUUUUCAUUGA